rnacentral:rRNA from 1 species
UACGUAGGGUGCAAGCGUUGUCCGGAAUUAUUGGGCGUAAAGGGCUCGUAGGCGGUCCGUCACGUCGGGAGUGAAAACUUGGGGCUUAACCCCAAGCCUGCUUCCGAUACGGGCGGACUAGAGGUAGGCAGGGGAGAACGGAAUUCCUGGUGUAGCGGUGAAAUGCGUAGAUAUCAGGAGGAACACCUGAGGUGAAGGCGGGUUGCUGGGCUGACACUGACGCUGAGGCGCGAAAGCUAGGGUAGCAAACGGG